AUUGAACGCUGGCGGCGUGCCUAAUACAUGCAAGUCGGACGCAGUUGCGAACGGGAGAGUAACGCGUAGGUCACUGCCUGUUAGAGGGGGCUAACUAUUGGAAACGAUAGCUAAUACCGCAUACUAGUCGAUGGACCUGCGUUGUAUUAGCUAGUAGGUAGGGUAAUGGCCUACCUAGGCGACGAUACAUAGCCGAGUGUGGAAGGUGGUCGGGCACACUGGGACUUGGAAACGGCCCAGACUUCUACGGGAGGCAGCAGGUGGGAAACUUCGGAAAAGGGGGGAACCCUGGCCGAGCAACGCCGCGGGAGAUAAGAAAGGUUUCGGAGCGUAAAGCUCUUUUGGUAAGGAAGCGGUACCUAACCAGAAAGGGACGGCUAACUACGUGCCAGCAGCCGCGGUAAUUC
rnacentral:rRNA from 1 species